GGGCCCUAUCCUGCUCCGUGUGGGACCCCGCAUUCGGGCCUCCUUAGGCACCGGGUAAAAAGGGGAGAGAGGUACAGGCGUGUAGGUGCAGCCAUAGAGGUGUAUGCGUGUACCAUGCAUGGAGCACCACGCACACGCUAUAGAUACACUGUAUAUAGGACCCAUAUAAGACAUCUGCGUGCCCGAGUGUAUUUAUAAGCAUAUAUUUCCAAAUGACACAUGCGCACACAUGUUUAUUUAUUACUUACAUAUUAUAUAUUACGUAUAUUGCAUUAUAUAUUUAUUGUGUGUUGUUUUAUAUUACGUAUAUAGUAUACAUAUGUAGUAUACAUAUGUAUAUAUAUAUAUAGUAUGUGAGAGAUAUAUAUUGUAUAAAUACACACCUCGCGUUGCUCUUUACAGUGCCGGGGGCUCGGUGCUUCUAGUCCUGCUGCACUGCAGCCCCCUCCGCCGCUGUCCUCCGACCCCACUCGACGAUUCUUCUCCCAGUGUACGAAACCCCCACAGAGAGAAGGGUGCGAGGGGCAGAGGGGACACAGGAGGGGGAUCAGCCCUGUCCCGGGCACGGCUCGGCCUUGGUGUAGCCCCAGGAGGGCCACAGGCUGUCACCUCCCAGGCCACCCACUCGGGGCUGUCCCAGCGAGGCCGAGCCCCGAGCUCGCUUCGCGUUUGCAGUCUCGAAGGCCGGUAUACCCCGACGGCACGGAGCAGCCCCUGCCCCGCUCCAUAGGGCCACUCCGAGCCACCGCCUCCCCACGUCGAGGAACAGCGGUUUGAGGGAGAAUUGCGGCUCUGGGGAAUGCUUUUACUCUCCGGUCCGGGGGGAGGGGGGUCAGCCCUGGGCUGGCCUUGGGGUCAGCGAAACCCGAGGAAAGCGGCCGCUCUGGGAGACGCGAUCCCCUCUUUCCUCUUCUGCUGUCGUCUUUCUUGUCCUUCCCGUGGAAGCGGGGACACUCCCGCACCCCGCAGACGGGAACGGAGGGAAAUGAUCCGUUCCGAACUCCGUCGCCCCGUUAGUUUUCUUUCGGCCGCGACUUUCGCCGAGAAACCCAAAAGCACUAAGAACAGCACACCAUCAGUCGAACAAAAACUUCAGCGUUUCGGAGGAACUCUCAAACUUCAGCCCAAUCUCCGCCCGCCGCCGAAACCGGACCCGUUCGAAGAGAUGGAUGAUAUGACACUCCACCUUGCCCUGGAAGGUAACAGGAGGCAGAAAAACCUCUCUGGAAUACAUCAGUGCCCUUCUACUUUUGGUAUUCAAACUGACAGGUGGUUCCAUCACACAGCCUUUCCACAGGCUGACCAAGCUGCAGCUUAAACGUAGCCAGACAAUCUUCAUAUGAAGCAAUAGGGCUCCAGAUGGCCAAAAGACUUCACACAAGCAGCAGAGGACAACUGAAUGAGGAGGAAGGUUCUUCCAAAACGCAUACCAGUGCCCAAACUUCUUUCUUGCUUGUCCAGUUCUUUGUGGUGGCUGCACAGAGGACACAUGCCCCAGACAACGCAGGGCUGAUGCCUAGACCCAAGCCAGAUGACAGCCAUUUGGAGAUGUAAUGACUAAGUGUGGGCAUUCCAGGGGUGGGAGCAUGCUGCAGAACCCCCCUUGGAGCAACCUACAUGAGAAGCUUAGCUGAAGAACAGGACCAACAUGGAUGUAGAGGAGGAAGAUUACAUGGUUUCAAUACAGAGAACUCCAAACAUUAACUUGCUGAGGUCGCAUUGGUGUUGUUGGAAGCAUUUACUGUGGGAGAAUGAAGGCAUCCAGAAAAAUGAACACUCCCUAUAGUAAAGAUGAUGGGGUUCUUCAGGUUGGUGUUUUGAGGACUCUGACAAUCACAUGUGUAUUUUAUGUGGAAAAAUAACCCUCUUCCCUUUAUGCUCCUCUAUAGUCAAACAGCUCACUCAUCAAUGGCAAUCUCAAACAGCUUCCUUGCUACCUUCCUUUUCCUUCUUCUGUACCUUCUUCCCUUAAAACAAGGAAGUUCAGCUCCACCUGUAUACACAGUUGUAUAAUUUUUCACAUGUUAAACAUACCAGAGGUUCCUGUUCCUGACAUUCCCAAGACAGUGCAGUGGAAGAAAGAAUACUGGGACUGCUAUUGUUUGUACCCCUCACAUUUUAUUAGAGCGUACAAUGUUGAGAUGUUGCUUUCAAGCCUAGUACUCUGUUGCUUAUAACUGUUUUGCCUCUUUGAGACCAAAUAAGUUUAGUAUUAAAAUAAAAUAAGUUAAAAAAAAGAACGACAGAGGUACUACCACAAAAUCAUCUGUUCAGACAUCAUCACGAGGUGAAGUUUACAUUUAAAAUAACACUUUCUACAUCCUGGCAUUACUGAUCAGUCAGGCUUGCCUGCUGAAGUAAUCAGGACCAUUGCUAUAGAAUUUUCUGUAAACAAAUAAAGAUUUUUUGCAGCUUCUGUGUAUGAACUGAGUCACAGUGAGUGGCUUAACAAGUCUAUGCGUGAACUGUUUUAGGACUCAUGUAGAGGCCAAAAGAAAAACAGUUAUUCUGCACUCUUACCUUGCUCAAUACGGCUCUUGUCUAAGAAAAACAAUUCUCCACUUUUCCCAGUAAGCACUGGCACUUUAAGUUUCUUAUCUCUCAUCGAACUUUUGUCACGUACUUUCAUGAAAGCUGAGCUGAAAGACCACAUUUCAAAGAGAUGCUACACUUCACCCUAAACAGAGUCCAAUGUUGUCUCUAGUCCACAUUAAUAUCAAAGCACUCAUUUCAUUUUCAAUUACCUCGUAGAACCAUGCAUGCUCUUCCACUUUCUCCACUUCACUGCUGAAGAAGAAAAGAAGAGAGGAAAAUAUGUUGGCAGCUGUAGGAUGCCCAAUAUGCUUGGGUAGCUUUGCCCCAUUUUUUGAUCUUUACAGAGCCUCUUGCAGAGCUCCACCUUCAUCUCUAGAUGAGGAAUGAGAGGGUGGAGAACAUCUGCUGGUGCCAAUCUUGGAGCAGAAAGCAGACAACAGCCUUUGUAACACUCAGUGACAGGCACCGAUAACCUGGUUUUUAACUGAUCCUCCCUGGAACACACAUGUUAAGCAUCAACAUCCUUUAAUUUUUUCUUCAAAGAAAAUAAAGUCGUUUUUAUUUAAAGCAUGGGAUACUUUUUUCUCCUACUGAAGAAAGCCAGAAUUUGAAAUCACAGAAGUACUUAAACACACACCAAGCUUUAAAUACCGCUGGGGAUUUAUUCAGCACUCAAACAUGUGUUAAUGGAUGAAUUUAAGUACGUGCUUAAGCACAUUGCUGAAUCAGGGCCUAAAACAGCAUAUUCUCAUUUUAUUUAUAUUUUUAUGAAAUUUCUUUAAAUGCUCAUGCAAAUAAAUUGGUGAAACUUGACUUCACUGGAGAAGCAUUUACUGGAAAUUAUUUCUUAAUUAAAAUCUGAAGCCAUAAAUUUUCAUCUACAGAUGAUGUGCAGGAUUUUUCCAGUGUGAAAUUGACACGGAACAGAAUUUUGAGGGGAGAAAGGUGGACGGUCAUCUGGAAACUGUAGCGAAAUAUGACAGAGGCAAGGGAACAUUUAGCAAAUACUAUAAAAAGAUAUUCAAAGGUUUCAAUUGACAAACUAUCUUCUAAAGAGAGUUCUUGCAGAAAAUACUUUUUUUGUUGCUUCACACUGAAAUGCCUGUACAGAUGCAGUUCCUGUACAGAGAAAUGCAGUUUUUAGUAUCAGCUGCCCUUAGAAAUAAGAUUUUCAAGAUCGAGGAGGAAAUAAGCAGCUUCUAUGAGGUGUUGAUCUUGAAAUGCCAGCCUUGCUUCAGUACAGUGCAGAGAGCUAUUGGACCAGACCCUGGCUACUGAUAGCCUGUUUGAAUUGGAGCACACUAAGCACAGCAUAAUAACUGUAACUCAAAACCUGUUUCUUGAAAAUAUAUUACACUCGUCCAAGUAAGCAGCUUCUACACUGCAACUGAACCAUAAAUGCUGAGGAUAAUUUGCUCAUUGUUUUUUAGUGGGGAGGCACAACUUUCCACUCUUCCAAAACAAGGCUCAGAGCAAAGAGUAUCCAUCUGCAUACUAGUGGAACACAUGCAUCAAAACAGAGAAAAGAAAGAAAUCUCUUGAUUUUCAGACAGACAUUUGACAUACCCAUGGGUAAACCUUUUGCCACAUGUGAAGGGGUAUGGUAUAGAAUGAACAGUCAAAAUUCCUGGUCCAAGUGAGAUGCUAUCUGGGGAAAGAAGUCAACCCUUCUCUUAGGUGCUCAGCUCUAAUGAUGCUGCAGAAAAAUGAGACUGACUGAAACUCGUGUUCAUGCAGAUUUCUGUUCUGCAAGUGUUCUGACAUCUGCCAAGAGUAAUUGACAGCUAAGCAAGGAUGUGUCCAUGCAUGUCAUUUUUCUGUGUUCAGGAGGCUUUGAGGGGAAUUUGGGGAAAUUUAGGGCUGGCACUCCAGAGCCCCCAACCUUGGAUGGUUUUUCCUAACAGAAAAUAGUGUCCUUACCCCUGAGAGACAGUCUGUGACAUGGAGACCCUGAACUGUGGAUGCAAGGACAGGCAAUGAAGACAAACAUGGAUGGAAGAGGGGCAGACAGGAGGUGAUGGAUAGAAACAGAAGUAGCAAGGAGUCUUUGCACUGAAUGCUGGCCCAGUGCUCCACUAGGCUUGGUCAGCAAUGUAAAAGGCAUGGGAACUCCUAUGUGAAGCUGAAAGAAAGCACUAAUCUCCAAAAAUUGUUCAGUGGCAAACACCUGAGACCAUGACAGGCUGGUAAGAAGAACUUGUGUGAUUGAGGGACCAGAAAGAUUUGUCUCUUAGCUGAUCUUUUAAGGUCAAGAUGGCUUUUGAGGUUUUUUUUUGAGAGAAUUGAGUCAGCGUGCAUGCCCACCAGCCUGCCAGAUAGCAAGCAUGUGAUUACCACAUGAUCAACUGCUGGUUACCUAUAUGACAAGAGCAGGUGCUGUUGCCCAAAGCAACAAGAGAUGCAUGAGAGCAGAAAGAACAGGAUAAAAACUGAAGAGAUUGGAGGUAGUGUGAGUGCCCCCUCCAUUAAAUAUCUCCUUCAUUAACUGAAGUGAGACACUACAUUGGCAUCACAGGGUAGUAUAUACCCCAACCUGAGAGCAUUGUCAUCCAAGAAUAUGAGUGUACCCUCAUAUUCUCAUAUGAGUGUACAGGACAGACCUCGAGGUGAGAGGAUUAUAAUUUUAGACUUAGAGUUUGUAAUAAAUCAGUUGGGCAAAAUCUUGGCCUUCUUUGCUAUCUUAGUCUUGCUCCGGGAAUGUAUAUAUGGAGCCAUUUCCUCCAGUAACCGAAACAAGACGUCUCCGUGCCAUAAAAGCAAAAUGAGGUAAUUUCAAUAUAAGAAGUCAGAGAUGUACGUUAAUAAAAGCAAAUAAUACUUAAAGAUUAAAAUAAAUGUUUUUUAAUUUUGGAAAAAAAAAAAUAUAUAUAUAUAUAUAUAUAUAUUUACAUAUUUGCUUUAGGAAAUCCCAGGAACUUAUCUUUCACUGUUUUCUCUCCUGAUGAGAGAGCAGAAAUUUCCUCCUCCUUUUCUGAGAGUGCAGAUACCUCUCCUUUUUCUUUCUGGACAGGAUGUGAUGUGGGGCCAAGCCAGGCUAAGGAAGAAUUUGGGUCCUCUGCAUUGUGCUGUGGCCUGGGAGCACCACAUCACAGACUUAUUCCAGGAGAAAAUAACAGUAGGGGUCAGUACAUAAUUGCCAAUGACCACAGCCUCUGGGGGAGACAAGGAUAUGAUGGUUUUAAAGGAAGCAUCUAACAAGGAAGAAAUUACAGUUACAGAAGAGAUCUUAGGCAGCAGACUGACUGAGCAAGUCCUGUAAGAGGAUUUCUGCAUGAAUCACUGUGCUUCAUGAGGUCAGAGGAUCAGAUCCAAGCCCACACAGUCCGCUUCUGAACCAUGCAGAGGGAGUUGUUAAGUGAGAAACUGAGUGCUGUACCAGG
ensembl:lncRNA